GUUUCACUGAGGGUUAAUCCAGCCUCUAGUGGCUGUCUCACUGACAGCCGCUAGAGGAGCACACUGAACGUCCAUAGGAAAGCAUUGAGUAAUGCUUUCCUAUGGGCGGUUUGAAUGCGUGCGCAGUCGCAUUCGGAGCUGAGAGGCUGAGGGAUCCCCAGCGCCAAGGGAGUCCGGCGCUGGAGAAAGGUAAGUGCAGAAGAC